AGUGGUUCUCAAUCAACAAAAACGACAAUCUUGAUAGACACCAUGAAAACAAGUGUAGCUAUUAUCAUACUGCUCGUUUGCCUUUCAGGCAUGACGAUUAAUCAAGCUGAUGGAAUACUUAUAACAUGUAAUUGGGGAGGAUGUCCGCACAAAGGAGCUUGUCACAAAUGUUGUGACCACCUUAGAUCGGGAUGUAUUGGUGGAAAAUGUGUUAGGAGACGACCAUGGGCAUUGAUUAAAACCAAAUGUCAAUGUGAUUGUCCAUC